CCUCAGCCUCCCGAGUAGCUGGGAUUACAGGGGAAGCCAGCCACCAUGUCAUAAGGACAAAGCAGCCCUGAGGAGAACCAAUCCCUUGGGGAGGAACUCGGCCCCCAGUCAGCAGCCAAUACCAACUUGCCCAUGUGUGAGUUAGUCACCUUGAAAGUGGAUCUGCUGUCCCAGCCAAGCCUUCAGAUGAGACCACAGCUCUGGCCAACACCUGACUGCAGCCUCAUGAGAGACCCAGAGAACCAUCCUGUUGAGUCUCUCUUGAAUUCUUGGCCCAUAGAAAUUGCUAGUGAUAGUAAAUUAUUCUUGUUUUUUAAACCACUAAGUUUUAGGUUAAUUUAUUACACAGCAGGAAUGAUAACUUAAAUGGUGACUAUUUUGGUCAAAAGAGGCCAGGCUCUGCUACAGUAUCAAAUAAACCACACUUGAUGGCUAAUACAA